AUUGAACGCUGGCGGCAGGCCUAACACAUGCAAGUCGAGCGAGAGGCGGACGGGUGAGUAAUGUAUGGGGACUGCCCGAUAGAGGGGGGUAACAACUGGAAACGGUAGCUACUACCGCAUACUAUCGGAUAACCCAUAUGGGAUUAGCUAGUGGGUGAGGUAAGGGCUCACCUAGGCGACGAUCCCUAGCUGGUCUGAGAGGAUGAUCAGCCAAACGGGGACUGAGACACGGCCCAGACUCCUACGGAGGAAGCAGUGGGGAAUAUUGGAAAAUGGGGGCAAGCCUGAUGCAGCCAGGCCGCGUGUAUGAAGAAGGCCUUAGGGUGGUAAAGUACUUUCAGUCGGGAGGCGUUACCGACAGAAGAAGCACCGGCUAACUCCGUGCCAGCAGCCGCGGUAAUUC
rnacentral:rRNA from 1 species